rnacentral:rRNA from 1 species
GCAUAUCAAUAAGCGGAGGAAAAGAAACCAACCGGGAUUGCCUCAGUAACGGCGAAGUGAAGCGGCAAAGAAGCUCAAAUUUGAAAUCUGGCCCCUCCGGGGUCCGAAGUUGUAAUUUGUAGAAGGAUGCUUCGGGUGCGGCCCCCGUCUAAGUGCUCUGGAACGGGCCAUCGGAGAGGGUGAGAAUCCCGUCUGGGACGGGGUGUCCGCGUCCAUGUGAAGCUCCUUCGACGAGUCGAGUUGUUUGGGAAUGCAGCUCUAAAUGGGUGGUAAAUUUCAUCUAAAGCUAAAUACUGGCCGGAGACCGAUAGCGCACAAGUAGAGUGAUCGAAAGAUGAAAAGCACUUUGAAAAGAGAGUUAAACAGCACGUGAAAUUGUUGAAAGGGAAGCGCUUGCGACCAGACUCGCUUCCGGGGUUCAGCCGGCUUUCGGGCCGGUGUACUUCCCCGGGGGCGGGCCAGCGUCGGUUUGGGCGGCCGGUCAAAGGCCCCUGGAAUGUAACGCCUCUCGGGGCGCCUUAUAGCCAGGGGUGUCAUGCGGCCAGCCUGGACCGAGGAACGCGCUUCGGCACGGACGCUGGCAUAAUGGUCGUAAACGACCCGUCUUGAAACACGGACCAAGGAGUCUAACAUCUACGCGAGUGUUCGGGUGUCAAACCCGUGCGCGCAGUGAAAGCGAACGGAGGUGGGAGCCCCCUCGCGGGGCGCACCAUCGACCGAUCCUGAUGUCUUCGGAUGGAUUUGAGUAAGAGCGUAGCUGUGGGGACCCGAAAGAUGGUGAACUAUGCCUGAAUAGGGCGAAGCCAGAGGAAACUCUGGUGGAGGCUCGCAGCGGUUUCUGACGUGCAAAUCGAAUCGUCAAAUUUGGGGUAAUAGGGGGCGAAAGACUAAUCGAACCAUCUGGUAGCUGGUUCCUGCCGAA